GACGAACGCUGGCGGCGUGCCUAAUACAUGCAAGUAGAACGCACAGUUUAUACCUUAGCUUGCUACACCAUAGACUGUGAGUUGCGAACGGGUGAGUAACGCGUAGGUAACCUGCCUGGUAGCGGGGGAUAACUAUUGGAAACGAUAGCUAAUACCGCAUAAUAUUAAUUAUUGCAUGAUAAUUAAUUGAACGGUGCAAUUGCACCACUACCAUAUGGACCUGCGUUGUAUUAGCUAGUAGGUGAGGUAACGGCUCACCUAGGCGACGAUACAUAGCCGACCUGAGAGGGUGAUCGGCCACACUGGGACUGAGACACGGCCCAGACUCCUACGGGAGGCAGCAGUAGGGAAUCUUCGGCAAUGGACGAAAGUCUGACCGAGCAACGCCGCGUGAGUGAAGAAGGUUUUCGGAUCGUAAAGCUCUGUUGUAAGAGAAGAACGGGUGUGAGAGUGGAAAGUUCACACUGUGACGGUAUCUUACCAGAAAGGGACGGCUAACUACGUG
rnacentral:rRNA from 1 species